rnacentral:rRNA from 1 species
GAUGAACGCUGGCGGCGUGCCUAAUACAUGCAAGUCGAGCGAACAGAUGAGGAGCUUGCUCCUCUGACGUUAGCGGCGGACGGGUGAGUAACACGUGGAUAACCUACCUAUAAGACUGGGAUAACUUCGGGAAACCGGAGCUAAUACCGGAUAAUAUAUUGAACCGCAUGGUUCAAUAGUGAAAAACGGUUUUGCUGUCACUUAUAGAUGGAUCCGCGCCGCAUUAGCUAGUUGGUAAGGUAACGGCUUACCAAGGCGACGAUACGUAGCCGACCUGGGAGGGGGUUCGCGGCCACUGUGACAGAGACACAGCGCAGACACCCACGAGGGGGGGAAGAAGGGGAUCUUCGGCGAAGGGGGCAAAACUCACCGGGCGAAGCGGCGGGGGAGAGGAGAGUGUUCUGGGCUUAAAAAUCUUUUUUAUGAGGAAAACAAAAAUGGGAAAGUAAAGUUCACACUUUGGCGGUAACUUAACAAAAAAGCACGGCUAACUACGUG